rnacentral:misc_RNA from 1 species
CCGAGUUUACAACUCCCAAACCCCAUGUGAACUUAUACCCUUUUCCUGUUGCCUCGGCGGGUCAUUUGCCCCGGACCGGGCUCGUCCAGAGCCCGCCCGGAAACAGGCGCCCGCCGCGGGACCGAAACUCUGUAUCUCUUAGCCUUUGGCACGUCUGAGUGGAAUCAUACAAAAAUGAAUCA